rnacentral:lncRNA from 1 species
CCGGCGCCCACCCGGAACCCGCGCCGGCCCGGGAGCGCCGCGCAGCCCGGGCUCCCGCCCGUGCCUCCGCCUCCACACCUCCCCGCGAGCAGAGGGAGCCGGCUCCGGCCUCGGCCAGCCCCAGAGAGGGGGUCCCCACAGCGCAGCGGCGGGCUAAAGGGCUCCUCCAGCGCGGCCAGAGCGGACGCCUAGGCCGAGGAGAUGCCGAGAGGGAGCGAGGGCUGCUAGAACGUUGUCACCUCUCAAAACCUGGGUUAAACCUGGGUAACCUGGGUUACUCUCUACUGGUAGAGACAUUGGCUUCUCACUGCAGACCUUGAUAGAAAUGUGUAAUGAUUAAUUUUAUUUUGACUUAACAACGAAUUAAUUUUAUCUUAAAUUAACAACUUGACUGAGUGUGUUUGUAUGUUUCCCGAACAGAGUAGCAUUUGAAUCAAUAGGCUGUGUAAAGAAGAUCUGCA